UCGAUGCAGAAAACUCUGUUUGCUGGAUAGAGCGUUGUAUUGUGUGUUUUUUCUUCAGCGGAGCAUGAUGGUCAUGGAGGUGAAUGAAUGGUUUAUCAAUGGACUGUAAAAAGAGACACUAAUUUACCUUUCAAUUGCCUAAGGAAAACAACCUGACAGAGAAAUGUAUGGAUUCAUCAACACAUGUCUGAAGUCUCUAGUGAUUGACAGAUUUGGAGAAGAGACGUGGGACAAACUCAGGGAUUCAGCAAAGGUUCAAGACACUUUCAUGACUUAUGAAGUGUACACAGAUAACAUCACCAUGCAAUUAGUGACAGAGGCCUGCAAGAUGCUCCACCUUGAGCAAAGUGGUGGUUCUGGGGCAGUUUGGAGAAUAUUUCUUUGAGUUCUGCAAAAGGGCUGGAUAUGAUCAUAUGCUGCGCACUCUUGGAGGAAAUCUGUUUGAGUUCAUGGAGAACCUGGACGCGCUGCACGGCUUUCUCUCUCUUUCCUACAAGGAAAUGAAUGCACCAUCAUUCCGUGUAGAAAAAAACAAUGAUGGCACUUUGCUGUUACACUACUACUCAGACCGACGAGGUCUUUG